AAAAUAAUCCUACCCUUUGUGAAUUUUGUUUGUUUGAAUAAUUUUUUUUUUAAAAAAUUGUUGGAGUCUUUCCCUUUAGAGUUUGCUUUUGAGUUUGUAAAAGAAUUCGAAAACAUCUAAAGGGGAUGGUCAAUAAUUUUUUUUGAAAAAAGACAUUUUUAAAAUUAAACUUUUUGUAUUCAUUUGUCUAAAAAUUAUUUUUAUAAUAUAAAAACAACUUUUGACAAUGGAUCUCUUGGUUCUCGCAACGAUGAAGAACGCAGCAAAAUGCGAUAAGUAGUGUGAAUUGCAGAAUACGUGAAUCAUCGAAUCUUUGAACGCAUAUUGCACUUUUUUAGUUUACUAAAAAAGUAUGUCUGUUUGAGUAUCAGUAAAAUAUUCUCAUAAAAAUCAUUGUGUAUUUUUAUGGUUAUGAGUGUUUUACAACGAUACAAGUUGUUUCACUUUAAAUUUUUUUUAAUAUUGAAAUUUUUCUAAUUUUAAUAAUUAAAAUUGGAUAAAAUUUUCCCGUCAAAAGGAAUAACCUAAACAAUUUUAAAUGAUUAAUUUUAGCAAAAUUUUCGUAAAAAAGGAAAAUUUUUAUUAAAAUAACUUGAUCUCAAAUCAGAUAAGAGUACCCGCUGAACUUAAGCAUAUCAAUAAGCGGAGGAAAAGAAACUAACAAGGAUUCCCUUAGUAACGGCGAGUGAAGCGGGAAGAGCUCAAAUUUGAAAUCUUCAGGUUUUACCUUGACGAAUUGUAGUUUAAAGAAGUGUUUUCUGCUGAAGUUUUGGUAAAGUUCUUUGGAAUAGGACAUCAUAGAGGGUGAGAAUCCCGUAUUUGACCAUUAUUUUCAGCUUUGUGAUACACUUUCAAAGAGUCGGAUUGUUUGGGAAUGCAGUCCAAAAUGGGUGGUAAAUUUCAUCUAAAGCUAAAUAUUGGCGAGAGACCGAUAGCGAACAAGUACCGUGAGGGAAAGAUGAAAAGAACUUUGAAAAGAGAGUUAAACAGUACGUGAAAUUGUCAAAAGGGAAGCGUUUGACACCAGUGUUGUUUUCUCGAAAAUCAAUUAAAAAUGGCUCGAUUUUGUAUUGCUGAGACCUUAAAAGCUCACUGUACAUUUUUCGUGUCUUUUUUAAUGCACUUUUCGUUUAACAAGUCAACAUCAGUUUCUUUUGUUGUAAAAGGGUCAUUGGAAGGUGGCUUUCUUUUCGGAGAAAGUGUUUAUAGCCUUUGGCCUCUGCAAUCGAAGAGACUGAGGUCUGCAGCGUAGACUCUUCGGGUUAGAUACAUUUGUGCUAAGUUAUAGCUUUUUAUAGACAACUUGUUGACUAUAAUUAGUCUUGUAGCUUACUCGCUUAUGCUAUUUUACCUACGCUUAGGAUG
rnacentral:misc_RNA from 1 species